rnacentral:lncRNA from 1 species
GAGAUGGAGAUCUGACUUCAUACCUUCAUCAAGGAUUAUGAGGUUCAGAAGGACUGAUUCUUCCUAACCGACCCAACAGAAGACUGACUAAUCUCCACCAUUGAAAGAGACCAUCUUGGGUAUUCAUACACGGGGCAUUUCCUCCUUAGUCAGAAGGAGUCUUUCUGGAAUCCCAGUGAAAGAUCAGAGAUGGCUUACUGAGCACAGAAUUUGAGCAAAAGGCAUUACGGUGCUUUUAGGAUACCUAUAAAUUAUGAAAACAUUCUCUGCUCCAGAGAUAUUUCUCUCUGAAGAACCUAUAUCCGGCAUCUAGUUUCAAAUACUGUUUCUCCCCCUUAACAAUGAAAAAAAUCUCAGACUCUUAUUUAUAGACCUCACUGGGACACCUGUCACUUAUCAUUGUAACAUCACCCGUCUUUGUCUUGCUACAUUCAGCCUAUUAUAGUUUCCAAAUUUAUAGAUAUUCUGGUUAUUUAUAUUUUAGGUUCUUCAGUUUUGAGUCACAAAUAAGAUGACAUCUUAAAUCCUGGUUUGUAAUUUUUGAGGAUUCCUCUUUUAGGAUCUGCCGCUCUCUAUUUAUGAAAUAAUAUAACGUGACACCCCUGCUAGGGGAAUGACAGAUACUGCGCCUCAAUUCGAGGAGUCUCAGUCCAGAUCCCAUGUAAGUAAGGAGUCCAGAAUAGCGUUUGUUCGGCUGUUAAUGAAUCAGUAGUACCCUGGGUGUGUGAGCAAUGCUAUUUUUAAGCCCAUUGCUGACUGCAGUGAUAAAGGGGGUACAGACUGUGCCUUGCCAGCUUGUGAGCUUACCGUGAUGCAGUUAUUCCUUGAAAAAGGUGUUUUUGAGUUCCUGUUUUCCUUUCACUGAUCCUACCAGUUUCCUGGAGAAAGAAACUGAAAACCACGUGUGUCAUCUUAUCAGUCUCAUGCUUUUCUUCAUCAGAAUUGUCUUGGAUUGGUAAUUUUCAGAUUGCUUCUGAGCACUUGGGAACAUGGCUUCUAGAUAAUCAAUUUAUAGGCUCCGUGUCCUCACCCGCUGCGGUGAAAGGCUGGCGCAUCCCUAAUGAUUUAUGGCUUAGUCCAGGGCACUGCGGCAGAGUCACAGGAAGGGGAAUUUGGGAAAGGCUUGAAGCUGGUGUAGGUGAAGUUAGCAACCUUCGGGAAGAGAACGUCUGACCAGAGAGAGGGGCUGAUAGGGACAAAUAAUGCACCCGCAGGUAGACAGAUUGUGGAGCGUUGGCAAAUGGCAGGCAAAGGAGGUUUUCUCUAUUGAAGAAACACAGCUUAUGGGAGAAUGUGCAGAUUCAAGGAAGAUGACAUAAAAGACUACACCAGCUUCAAGCCUCUCAUAAAAGACUUGAAAAGUCCUGAAGGGAAGCCUAUUUCUUGGGAAAGUAAGGGGCAUCGCGUUGGGCUCUCGUCUUUCUCUCCUGCUGCCCCUGUGGGAAAAGAGGGCCCGGCCCGUGGCUUGCUCCCCGCCACGCCCAGUGGGGCUUUCUCUGUCUUCCUUCCCCCAGAUCAGUCUCUUUUGUUUUUUUCCCCCAUCGUUUUAUCCUUGACUCCUCCCUGCACCUCAUGCUGCCCUCCUCAUACCGUUUGACAGUGUCUGUGCCCCCAGGGAUUGUGUCACUGGCCACCUGCUCUACUUUCUACCUCGUCCCUCCUGGGAAACGGCUUUACCCGCAUGGAUCCCGUUUUCCCGUAGGUCCGACGACAGCCCUCAGGUCUUCCUCCAGCCACGACCUCUCGCCCGUUCUCCCGUCCGGGUUUUCCUCUGGCUACAUAAGUGUUGUUACGGCUGCCCCCAGUGAGCUCUGUCCAGAAUAGAGCGCUUCCAGCUGGACUCCGCCGUCAACAUCGGCAGCAGCACUGUUCCUUUCUCGGUCCGUUUGGAAUGUGAACCUUUGAUGUCAGUCUUUGCGCGUUUCCUUGUCCUUGUCGCUCUGUCCUGCGGAGCCUCGUUGAGCAAUGUUUCUGGCCCCGCCCCUUGGCCCUUGGCCUCCUGCAUGGGCUGGUUCGGGGUUCCUGUGCCCUCUUCCCCCACCGCCGAUGCCUGAUUUCCAUUCUCUUUUCAAAACGGUUUGUCUUCAUUCAGGACCCGACUCAGCCAGUGGGCACUGGAUGCUGACUGUCAGUGACCAGCGGCUCUUGACACGGUAACUGGUAAAUUCAGCACCUCCUUGCCUCAGAUGCAGGAGGAACAAUUAGUUGAUCAGUGACUGUGUCUGCUGGGAUCUCCUGUCGGUGCUUGUAAUUCAGCUUGUGGGAGACACAUUCCGUUAUCCUGUCCCCCAAGAGAAGCCACUCUUUCACACCACCUCCCAUCUUUCGGGUCACCAUCCCCGGAACCCUGGUCCCUUCAGGCCCCGGACUGUUUGAGUCUUCUCUCUCCGUUGCCCUUGUGUCCCAUCUGCCCGUGUGUCUGGCCUUUCCUUCCUUGCCAUGUCCUUGCUGUUUUCUCAGGCAGUUCUCUAGCCCAGGUCCCCGUGGCCUCGGCCUGGACGGCCGUGACAGCCCAGGCCCUCCUCCUCGGGACCAGCGCUCUGGCCGCUGUGCCCCAGAGGAGUGACAUGUAACCUCUUUCAGGGGGUCAGUUUAUUGUAUUUAAGCAGUUUUAAAUGGUUCAACUCCUCAGAUGUCGCCAUAACCGGAGGACAGAGAAACACUGCGUGAGCUGGGAUCACAGUAGUGGGUGUCAUUAUCUUACCAGGUGGCAUACAGUCGAUGAACCCCCUACUUUAUUUAUUUAUUUAUUUUUGUCUUUUUAGGGCAGCACUCGCGGCAUAUGGAGGUUCCCAGGCUAGGGGUUGAAUCGAAGCUGUAGCUGUUGGCCUACACCACAGCCAUAGCAACACAGGAUCAGCUGCCUCUUCGACCUACACCACAGCUCAUGGCAACGCCAGGUCCUUAACCCUCUGAGCAAGGCCAGGGAUUGAACCCACAACCUCAUGGUUCCUAGGCGGAUUCGUUAACCACUGAGCCGCGACGGGAACUCCAAUGUGCCCCCUACUCUAGAUCUGUCUCCUCUCACGUACCAGCUCUCACUUCUGCCUUGGCUGUCAUGGUACCUGUCUCCUUAUCUCGUGCUUUGAGUCUAAGACCCGAAAGCACAGAGAAGAAGAAUGGUUAGCAGCGUGGAUUUGGAGUCCAGUAGACUUCAGUUCAAAUCCCAGCCCUGCUAGUGGAGGCAGAGUGAACUUGGACGAAAACCGUGGCAUCUGCCUACACUCUGCUUACCCACCUGGAACAUGGGAAGUGCAGCUGACCUUACACUUGAGGGGUGUGAGCUUCUGGGUCUGACACAGAGAGCAGCAAACCCAGUCCCUCUACGACUUGUCAAUUGUGUGAUAGAUGACAGUGAGUAAGGUGAGUGGCUUAGUGAGAGGGCUUCACACAGGCUUUUUCAGUAUCUAAAAAUUACUUCUAGAAGAUCUGAAUUAUCAGAAGAUGACAAUUCUGGGUAAGGAGGCCGUUGGUACACACAGUGUGGACCUGUAGUUACUUCAGGGGUGGGCUUUUGUUAAGGUAUUACUGUAACUAAAUGCUCCUAAGUUGUUGUCUCCAGGAAGAGCCUCAACUUCCUGAGGGCAGAGACCGUGGCGCUGGCUGCACCCCCACCCCCACCCACCAGCACCCGGAUUUGCUUGCACCCAGUUAGCAGGACCUGGAGCGCUGUCCCUCUGCCCUUCAAAGGACAGAACAUCUUUCUAAUCCCAGCUCAGAUCUUACCUCCUUUGUAAACCCUGGCCUAACCUCAACCCAGAGGGAUUCCUGCCUCUGAACUCCUGUUGUGCUGACUUUGGCAAGUGGCUUCUGGUGCCCAGAAUCGCCAGUUGUCCUUUUCACUUUGCAUUGAACUUGGCAACCUCCCGAGAGAUUUUUAAGCUCCUUUAGUACAGUGCUGAUGUCUUAGAUGUCUUUGUGCUUCCUUUUGUCCCCAACCCCAGUCUUUUCAUAUAGAGGACCCAUAAUGGAAUCAGUAUUGUGAUAUUUUUUGUCAUUGAUAAAGAAUUUUGUAGAGCUUGUGGUGGAUCCUAAACUGUGCUCUGCUGGAAUAUGCUAACAUUGCACAACUAGUGGAUAAAGAGACUUGGGUGGAAAAUGCUACACAGGCCCUCUAGACAUUUAGUAUAUACUGUUCUGGAAAUGUAUCAUUUAGAAAUGUGCUAACCUAAAAUUAUCUUUGCACCACUUGUGAAAUGUACACUUGAUAAGCAGGGUGACUGUCAUUAAAAUUUUAUGAAUAUUGUUCCAUAUGUCAAUGAAGAAAUUUUUUGCUGUUACUUUUCAACCGCCUGAAGCAUCAAAUGAUGGUGUUAUACGGGUAAUCAAGGAUUACAGAUUAACCCUUUCCUAGGUUUUUAAACAUGUCCAUUCAGAUGCAUAUUUCUUUUUCUUUUCUUUUUUUUUUUUUUUGUCUUUCUGCCUUUUUCUAGGGCCACACCCACGGCACGUGAAGGUUCCCAGGCUUGGGGUCUAAUUGGAGCUGUAACUGCCGGCCACAGCCACAGCCACAGCAACGCCAGAUCCGAGCCACAUCUGCGACCCACACCACAGCUCAUAGCAAUGCCGGAUCCUUAACCCACUGACCAAAGCCAGGGAUCGAACCUGCAACCUCAUGGUUCCUAGUCAGAUUCGUUAACCACUGUGCCAUGACGGGAACUCCUCAGAUGCAUAUUUCUAACAUUCUAACAUUCUUUGAUGUUUUUUGAAAUAUUCUGUAAUGUUAUUAUAUCUUAUGUGCAUAACAUGACAUGUAAGAGAGAUAUAGUUUUCAGCUAGAUAUGGGGAUUGGUCCUUCCUUUGAGUUCUGUAUUACAAAAAAAAAAAAAAAAAAAA